UACGGAGGGGGCUAGCGUUGUUCGGAAUUACUGGGCUUAAAGCGCGCGUAGGCGGACCUGCAAGUCGGGGGUGAAAGCCCGAGGCUCAACCUCGGAACUGCCUUCGAUACUGCGGGUCUCGAGUCCGGGAGAGGUGAGUGGAAUUCCUAGUGUAGAGGUGAAAUUCGUAGAUAUUAGGAAGAACACCAGUGGCGAAGGCGGCUCACUGGCCCGGUACUGACGCUGAGGCGCGAAAGCGUGGGGAGCAAACAGG
rnacentral:rRNA from 1 species